UGGUGUUUCGGUAUAAUCGAGGCUCGGUUGUUUGAUUGUUUCUAAGGAGAAAGCUUAUAGGUUAGGGGCUUGCAUCUAUUUUCCUCAGCUCACAAUGAUACUCAUUUGACGAGGAACAAUGGGGGAAGGACAAGUAGAAGUCAAUUCAUAUUCUUGCAUUGGCAUAUUGGUCUUUCCUCCUAGUCUCACCUCACUCCCAGUAGUCUCAUAAUGAUGCCCUAGGUCCAAAAAGGAGAAAAGGGUGGAACUAGCAAAUAGAAGUGAAGUCAGCCAGUAUAAAUCACUGUUGGAGGUACUUGAGAGCUGGCUGUCCAUGUCAUCCAGAAGCAAAUAUGUGAACCAAAUGGCAUUGUAAUUGAAAUCCCAGCAGGCUGUUUGAUCAGAAACCGGAAAUAAAAGGGACUUCCCUGUUGAUUUGUUGAUUUGAUAUUGAAUCAAAAGAUACACAGCAUGGUCAAUUGUUUCGAUGAGGAACCAGAAUCAACGUGACUUCCCUGUUGAUUUGGCAUGAACCGAAGGGUACAUGGUCAGGGUCAAUUCUUCUUAUGAGAAUCACUUAUAGUUAUAGAGGGCAUUUUCACUCUUGAUCAUUUAAUUUCUAGGGUUCAUGUGCAGCCUCUUUGGCCUUCGGGUUGCUGAGAGUCUGAGACUGUACUCACCUCUUAUACAGCUGCCCCUAUGCAACUCAAGUUCGGAGAGAAAUUAUUGCAUCGACAUUCCACAAGGGUUAAUGGGUGCCCCAAGAUAAGAGAUGGACAAACAGUUUCAAGGUGAGUGUAGAAGAUCCAGGAUGAAAUAAAAAGGCAGGCAGAUGGCAACAGAAAAAGCAUAACAAGUUCAAAACAAGAGCUUGCUUGGAAAAUUCAGUGUACUAAAAUCUCAGAUUGCUCCCCUAUGUUUACUAGAUUUAAUAUUUUAAGUCA